GAGGCCGCGGCUGGAGCCGGGCAGGGGCGCGGGAGAAGCAGGUACCGGCGCGGGCUGCGCAGCCCCAGGCGGGAGAGCUGCGCUCACUGCCUGCCGGAAGGACGGUCCCCGCGGGAGCCAGGGACCGACCGCGGUGUCCGAGCGGGCGGAAUUAGCGCCUGGCCCGGGCACGGUCCGAAGUCCGCGCUAUGGGAGAAGAGAAAUACUUGCCUGAGCUGAUGGCAGAGAAGGAUAGCCUGGAUCCAUCUUUUGUGCACGCGUCGCGCCUUCUGGCGGAAGAAAUUGAGAAAUUUCAAGGUUCAGAUGGAAAAAAGGAAGACGAAGAAAAGAAAUAUCUUGAUGUCAUCAGCAACAAAAACAUAAAGCUUUCUGAAAGAGUAUUGAUUCCUGUUAAGCAAUACCCAAAGUUCAAUUUUGUGGGAAAAUUGCUUGGACCAAGAGGAAACUCCCUGAAGAGGCUACAGGAAGAAGCAGGUGCUAAGAUGUCUAUCCUUGGCAAAGGAUCCAUGCGAGACAAAGCAAAGGAAGAAGAGCUGAGGAAGAGCGGAGAGGCCAAGUAUGCACACCUGAGUGAUGAACUGCAUGUAUUAAUUGAAGUGUUUGCUCCACCUGGGGAAGCUUAUUCACGGAUGAGUCAUGCCUUGGAAGAGAUUAAAAAAUUCCUGGUUCCUGACUACAACGAUGAAAUUCGUCAAGAACAACUCCGAGAGUUGUCUUACUUAAAUGGCUCAGAAGAGUCUGGCCGUGGCCGAGGUCUUAGAGGCAGAGGAAUCAGAAUAACUCCCAUAGCUCCUUCAAGGGGCCGUGGGGGUGCUAUUCCUCCACCACCACCACCUGGACGCGGUGUUCUUACCCCUCGGGGGACCACUGUGACCCGUGGAGCUCUUCCAGUGCCCCCAAUAGCGAGAGGUGUCCCUACACCUCGUGCUCGUGGGACCGCAGCAGUACCCGGGUACAGAGCACCCCCACCUCCAGCCCAUGAGGCUUAUGAAGAAUACGGGUACGAUGAUGGCUAUGGGGGUGAAUACGAUGACCAGACCUAUGAGGCUUACGAUAAUAGCUACGUGACCCCGACACAAAGUGUGCCUGAAUACUAUGACUAUGGUCACGGAGUAAAUGAGGAUGCCUACGACAGCUACGCACCAGAAGAAUGGGCCACAGCUCGCUCCAGCCUGAAGGCACCACCACCAAGGUCAGCCAGAGGGGGAUACAGGGAACACCCCUAUGGUAGAUAUUGAAGGUCCUCUUCACCUGUGACCUCCUCAGAGACAGUUCAUAGCCUCUGGUCUCCACAUAAACAGCAACAAGACAAGUACACACAAAGAACACCAUAAAUGGUACCAGCUGUGAUGGGCUAAGGAGGAUAAAGGACUUCAUUCCUUUGUAUGGCUGAAUAGUAUUCUGCUAUGCAUAUGGACUACAUUUACUUUAUCUGUUCAUCGGUUGAUGGCCAUUUUGGUAUUUCCAUGUCUUGACUACUUUGAAUAGAGCUGCAAUGAACAUAGGAAUGCAGACUAAAGAAGAAGUUAAUUUGGCCCAGGGCUGAAAAAAAAUGUCAUCAUAAAUGAGAUGAGAUUGGAUGGAAUGACCAGAUGUGGAGAAAAACUUGACACAGAAAGAAAAGGGUGGGGAAACCUCUGCUGUUCACUGCUAUUGCUGCCCACUAAUAGAGAAGCCCCAGCUCUCCUAGGAGAACACCUGUCAGUAAAACCCUGCUGUCCAGCCAGUGAGGUGGAAAAGUAAGUGGACACUUCGGCCCAUUCUGCUGUAGCAUCCUGCUUCUCCUAAACAGUCCAACCUGGAUGUCUUCAGAACACACCUAGAGCAUAUUAUGUGAGUGUUUGUUCACUUAUCACAAAUCAAAACUACCUCGAAGAGAGGAAGAAUACGAUACAAUCACAAGAGUAUACUGGGAACCAGACCAUCUGCUUUCUGGUUCUGGCCUCAAUCCUUUCUAAGUGGUAGAUUGCAAACAAGCUGUGAACCUCUGCUUUUCUUCUCUCUCCACCUUCUUUCUUAAGCAGAGAUCAUAAAAUCAUUGAAUUCAUAAGACUUCAUCCUAGAAGUAAAUAACAGAACACACAAAGCCUUUGGAAUAAUGUCCAACAUGCUUAAUAAUUGUUUCUCAGUCAUUUUUGUCAUCUUUAUAAUUACUUUUGUCUGUUUCCAUUCCAAAAUUAAGAUAGGAUUGCUGCUAAUACAUGAUGAUUAAAUUUCCACCAAGACUAAGUAAGCGGGGAAAUGAAAAACUCACAUAAGUAGUAGCAAGAAUUGAAAGGCGGCAUCAGAAAAGAUGUAGGAGAAACAUGAAAAGGUGCAGCAGAAAGACAGGAUUAUCUGUUUGCUCUCUUUUACUCUUACCUUGAUAGAAAAUAUGACUUUACAUACCUGUCAAGAACGUAAUGAACACUAGUCUUACAGCAUCUCCUACAGUCUAAGCAAUUUGGAAAACAAUUAAUCACCAUCCACUCCACAGUCAGCUUGGCAUUGCUGAGGAGUCUGCAUUGACAUACCUGGGUGGUUAGGAAACUUCCUCAUUCAAAGGCUCUUUGACCCCCUUUUCUUUGUCCCAAAGGGCGCAAUUACAUUCUCCCCACACAUCAUUAUAAAUAGCACUAUUAGUCCUUAAAGUAAGAGACCCUCUCAUGCUGUUUUCUUUCCUUUUUGAUUCUUUAUUAAUAUGUGUGAUUCAUUUAAUAUAUAUUUAUUUAGGUUCUCCCUAUGGACACAGCACUGCACUAGAUACCUGAUAUAAAAACAAAUGUAAACCACAAACCAAGCAGCCAUCAACAAAUAGAGUCUGCUCCCAUGAAGCUUCUGUCUAAUUACAGCUCUCAACAGCAAAUCACCAGAAAUGUAUGCCAGAAAUUAGUUGAAAGCUUUAGAUACGAUGAUGAGGUUGGGAAGUUUGAAGGCUGUCUUAGGGCAAUACGCUGACAUUUAAGCAUCAUCUGAAGACAGAAAAGAAGCAGGCAUUCAAGUUCCGGGCAAGAUUCCCAUGGCAUGCAGAAAGAACAGCCGCCGUACAGGUGUCGUGGUGUGGCGUGAGCAUGCAUGCAUGCAUCCCUGCAUCUGUAGUGGGACGUGGAGAGCCAUGGGAGAAUCACCAUGAGGAGAGCAUGGAGGAGCAAGUGGUGAUCAGAGAAUGCAGCUUCUUGUGGUAUGAGUGUUCUUAAUGUAGACCAUGGCACCGUUAGAAGUUAUUUAAACAGGCUACUGUGGCUUAAUACAUAUUAUAAGAGACACUCCUGACUGCUUUAUGGAGAACAUGGGGGAAGAGGGUGUAAAUAAAAUAUGAAGACAACUACCAGAACAGUGCAAGCCAGAGAAGAUGCUUGUAGUUCAGACAUGCUUAGGAGUGACUGAAUUGGAAAGGGAAGAACCACGUAAAAGCCGGAUGUGUCUGCUUCAUGUGUUGGGUGACAGUCCCACUUGAAAAAAAAAACAGUAGAAAUAAGUUUUCUGUCUUGAUCAGGUCUUUUCAUGAUAUGAUUUUGACAUUCCAACAGAGAUGCUAAGUAGCCAUGGGAUCACACUAGUGUGGAGUUCCUCUGUCAAUAGCCUCUGCACUAUGACCCCUCGGUUGUUUAACUCCUUCACUACAGGGUAAAACCAGUCAGUUCAAAAGUCACUCCAGGAGAAAAAAAGACAAAAUGUUACACAUGCAUUUAUUUUUCUUAAAGUAGGCUACCUAAAUCUUUACCCAUUUAAAGAUAUGCCUGCUCUGUGUUUCCUAUCAAACCUGACUCCACAUCUCUGGUAGUUGGUAAAUGCUAGCUCAGAUGUAUUUGGACCUGACAUCUACUUCCCCAACAAUCUGAUGCUUUGUAUGAUUCCUUUGUCCUCCCCUACACUCUUCCAUAUCUCAGAAUCUGGACAAGACUUGCAGAUAAGGGACAUUUCCCUACACCAGAGUUUGUCAAAGUAGCCCACUGAAUCUUGUGUGAGCUACUGCCACCUUGAAGUCUUACCACUGUUCUUGAUCAGUUUCAAAAACUCCUCAACCCCAAAAUAGCCCAAAGGGGAGGAGAGAUCUUCCCUUAGAUGCCUUUCUGGAAAAGAUUAGCAGUGAGAAUUAAUUCUGUUAGUUCAGGAACCUAGAGAAUCAGGUGCCAUGUAAAAUAUGGGCCUUAGAGAGGAAUCAUAUGCAUAUAACCACGGGGUCAGUGCCCGCCUACUUUCAGUCAUUCUUGCUAUGCACUGGUGAUUCCUUUAGGACGUACUCUGCCUCCUCCAUGACACAGCCACGUACACUCUCUUCUUCUCCGCACUUGUAGUUUUCUUGUGGUUUUACCACAUUACUGUAAGCAUCUGGCUAUUGUCUUCACCGAAAAUUUUCCUUGUAAGCACAAUAUGUGCUCAUCUCUAAAUUUCAAAGAUCUAGCACAUCUGGUAUAGAUUCCUAAGUGAAUAUAUUUCUGAAUGACUGAAUGAACAAGUGAGUGAAUGGAUAAAUGAUAUGGUCAAAGUAAAAUAGAAAAGUUAGUGAUGGUGCUUUGUUGAUAGACAACAGGUGACUCAGGCAGGAUAGGACAUCUUUAGCUCUCAUGGUGACAGUGGUAUUCUCUAAUCUUACUUUUAGUGUCAAACUAGAUCUCACUCUUACCUAAAAUAUAAACAUUUAGAACUUUGGGUGUAUACAUAUUGUGUGGCAGAAACUAUCUAGAAAAAUGGUGGAGUUAUACGUAAAUAUUUCAGUUAAUUACAGAAACAGCCAGUUCCACAAAAGCUAACAGUGAUAACAACACCAAUGACUAGGUUAGAAUUCAUCUUCUAACUUUAUAUUAAAUUCACUUCCCUUCUUUAAAAAGAAAUUUGUGAUAAAGAAACAAUGGCAUCUUAGAUCCUGUUGUGUGUGAUCUCAAUCUGCGUCACUUCUAAGAGGACUUUUCCGGUCUUAAUUACCAUCCGUUUUCUGAUAUCAGUGCUGCUGUCAUUGGACUUUCAAUCAAGGAAGCAAAGCGAGUCCUAGGAUGUUAUGAGUUAGAUUAUUUUUACUUAUAUUUUCUACUAAAACACUUCUUCCUAAUACAAAAUUUGGCAUUUGUCUUAGGGUAACUAUUGCUAUGACUGAGCACCAUGACCAAAAGUAACUUGUGAAGGAACAGGUUAAUUUCACUCACAGUUCCAUCAUCAAAAGCAGUGAGGGCAGGAACUCAAGCAGGGCAGGAGCGUGGAGGCAGGAGCUGAUGCAGAGGCCAUUGGAGAGGGGCUGCUUACUAGCUUGAUCCCCAUGGCUUCCUCAGCCUGCUUUCUUAUAGAACAAAGACUGCCAGCCCAGGGAUGGCCCCACCCACAAUGGACUGGGCCCUCUGCCAUCAAUCACUAAUUAAGAAAAUGCCCUACAGGCUUGCCUACAGCUGGAUCAUAUGUAGACAUUUUCUCAAUUGAUGAUCUCUCCUCUCAGAUGACAUAAUACUUCAUAGCAAAAAUAAGUAAGGAAGCUGGUAUUGUGGCACAUACCUUUAAUCCUAGAAUUUGGGAGGCAGAGGCUAAAGGAUCUCUGUGAUUUCAAGGUUAGUCUGGUCUACAUAGUGAGUUCCAGGACAGUCAGAGCUACAUAUCAAGAUGCUGUCUCAAACAGCAACAAUAAUAAUAAAGUAAAUGAGAUACAGGUUCAUUAUGGCUAAAUAAGUAAUACAAAAUUAUUUACAAGGUCUCUAGACACAUGGGAGCACAAUACUUCCUAUUACCUUAGCUGUGCCAAAAAGUUUGAACAUAAGACAUAUUACAUAUUUAAUGAGAACCUUUCAGUACAAAAGGAAAAAUCAGCAAGUUUUGGAACUUGUGAGUAGCUGAAUACUAAAAUUUAAAAUCUCACUAAGUGCAUCUUAGAAUUGAUUUUCUAAUCCAUUGUGUCACAACUAAUAACUGAAGCAACUUCAUCUCCAGGGCAGAGAGGAGCAGUUAUCAAACAUUAGAGUUCUGUUUUAAGUAUCACAUGUAUCCAUAAUUGUAGAUAAUUAUGCAUUAACUUACACAUAUAUCACAUAUUUUGAUUUAUUGAUACAUGUUUGUGAAAUACUGAUUGUGAUUGGUUCUUCAUUUAAGAUGUAAAACAAUUAAAUUUAAAUUUUUUUUAGAAUUUCUUACAUGACUACUGUAUUUAUGCCAUUUCGACAUUACCCUUUAAGCCCUCCAAUUCCUCCAACUUCCACCUAACUCUCUCUCAAAUUCAGGACUUUUUCAAUUAUAUGAGGUGUGUGUGUGUGUAUGUGUGUGUGUGUGUGUGUAUGUGUGUGUGUGUGUAAAUACAAUAUGCUGAAUCCAUUUAGUGUUGCUCAUAUAUAUAUGUGUUUAAGGCUGCACGCUUGGGACGGGAUAACCCAUCAGGAGGUCCAUCCCUUGAGUGGAAAACUGAUUAUUUCCCAGCAGCCACCUGGAGCUCUUCAUUCAUGAGUGAGACCUAUGAGAUUCUUUUUUCCCACCUACUUUGGGAAGUCAGCUGAUAUUGUCAUUGUUCAGGUCUUGCUUAGAUGGCCAUAUUGUUAAGAUUUUAGGGGUACAACUCCCUGUCACAAUAUAUAGAAAAAGCAAUUUUGCAAUAGAAGCCCUGGUUCUCUGACGCUUACAUUUUCUCACUCCCUUUUCUGCUAUGCUAGUUGAGACUUAGGUGAAAGGCUUCUAUUACAGAUAAAUGAAUUGAAGAUGUGUACUACAAGGUCAGUUCUCUUCAUAUUGACCAGUUGUAGAUUUCUGUAAUGAUCUGCAAAGGUCUGUGACAUCAGCAGCCAUGGGUAGUUUGACUUGGUUUAUAGCACCAGGCAUGGAUUCACUUCUACUGAGCUGGUCUUAUAUCCAACUACAUAGCUGUUGGUGGUCACCAUGAUACAAGCACUACUAUUGCAACAUUGGAGGUAUCGUGUCAUGCUGUUCAUGUUGUGGCUCAUGGGCUUUACAGCCAGGUAGGAGCAGUGAUUUUUUAUUUUUUUUUCCUGGGAAGCUUGUAUAGCACCUUCAGAUACUAGGAGAGUUAGUCCUCAGGAAGGAGGCUUCCAGGCCAGUUCCAGCUUGAUUCCUCCAAGUCAUGUGUCUUUAGCAAUAGUUUCUUACCUUCAAUUUAUGGAAGACAAGCAAGGGCAAUAGAAAUUGCCUGCAUUAUUUACAGAGUCUUUUUGAUUCCUUUGACCAAGAACUAGAAGAGAGGUUUCCUAUGGCACUGAGAUUUGCGUUAAGUAGUCUAUGCAACUUGUAAGGGGGUAUUAUUACCCCAAGUGGUAUAGCAACAUAUAUAUAUAUAUAUAUAUAUAUAUAUAUAUAUAUAUAUAGAGAGAGAGAGAGAGAGAGAGAGAGACACUAUAUAGUGUAUAUAUAUAUGAAUAUAUAUAGUGUGUGCGUUAAUUUUUAAAUAAGCACAAAAUAAUGUUUCCUUGUGGUCUUUUCAAUUGCCAUUGAUUUUUUUUGUCUCUCUUUCUCUGUAUUGCUCUCCCUGCCUCUUCUCCAGUUAAAUUUGAAGCCUAACUAUCAAACUCCCCCCAUACAAAUUAUUGCCUUUGCUAUCACCAAGUGUUUUUAUAAUGAUUUGCCACUUAUAGAAUAGUUUCAUGGUUAUUUCUCAGUGAUCUUACUUUACUUUUAGAAACCUAAAAGUUAAGAUAAUAAAUGCAUACUUAAAUACACAUCAUAUGUAUUCAUAUUCUAGCUGUUCUUUCCUAAUAGCAAAAAUAGAUUCAGAAAUGCAAAAAAAAAUUUUAAAUUAAAAUGUAAUAAACUUCCCAAAUUGCCCCAGGGGUGAAGUUCUUUCCCAGCAGAUGAAGAUGAUGCUUUGGGUGCCAUGGAACAUCAGGAACUUUUCUGAACACAUACAAAAGGCAGGUCAAAAACUCUGUAUUUUCAUCACUUUACAAGUUAAAACAAAACAGAAUAAUGGUCUUUUAUAGUAGACAAAUUAGUCUUGCAUGGUGAAGCAUACCUUUAAUCCUGUCAUUGAGGAGACUUGUAAGACCAAGGCCAAUUUAGGUUACAUACAGAUGCUCACGUUCAGAAAAAAUAAAAACAAGGGCAAUCGAUGAUAUGUUCUAAAGCAUUUCCCCAUAAUUACCAGACACUGUCCUUCUCUACCUUCUUCUUCUCCUCCAAGGCCACUCACCUACCCCUCUGUGUCUGAGAAGCAAGGACUCUGAACACCAUCUACUUUAAAAUACUUGGUAAUCCCAGAGCUUAUGUAGUGCCCAUGACUGGGAAAGCACUUUACAGCAUCAGUUACCCGGUUAUGUAACAUUUCUGUAACUACUGUAGAGAAGAUUAUAGCUAUAAGAAUAUUAGUGUUCCCCACUGAGCUGCUGGAAUUGUCCAAGACCACACUGGUGAUAAGCCAAAUAUAUUUCUAAGCACAUUGCACACUACUGAUUUUUCAACUAACUAUUAAUAGGGAUGAGGUUAUCUAUAUUUUAUGCAUAAAGGAGCCAACACUCACAGUGAUUUGUAAGUGUGCCAUAGUAAUACAAUUUGCAAAAAGAGAAGCUGAAUAAAAGCCCUGGAAACUAAUCAAAACACAAAAAUGUGUGUGCCUAUUGGAAGGAAUAAGAGGGACACAAACCCAGCAUCUGCACCACAUCACAACUGUCACCCUAGCUACCAUGGAUCCACGUAAACUAGACAGUGGGAUGUCACAAAAGGUUAUGGAGAACAGCAGAGGCUACAGAGAAUGCUCAGAGAUUAAGAACAUUUGUUGAUUUUGCAAAGGACUCUUGUUCUAUUCCCAGCACCUACAUAGUAGCUAACAACUAUCUAACUCCAGUUCCAGACAAUAUGAUGUUUUCUUCUGGCCUCUGAAGUGUUUCUGAGGUUUUAAUAGGCUAUUAUGCCCCAUAAGUCUCCUUCUCUGAGCAUAGAAGCAUGCUAUGCAUCUAGCAGUCCAGGAAAUGCUUUAAAAUGACUUACCUGAAUAUUCUUAAGGAAUCCACCUGUCUAUGCCAAAGCCCCCUGGACCGUUUACAAGGACAUUGCUGUCAUUCAUCUCAAGAGAAUUUUUUUCCAAAUUUUUGACAUGUCAAAUAUUUAGUAAAUUUAUGAUAUUUAGCAUAUAAACUAUGGAAAUAUAGAUACAUAUCAACCUAUGCAUACACAUGUUUAUAUAUAGACAUAUUGGAGAAUGUAUGCAGAUAUAUGCACACAUUUAUAGCAUGGUUUACAUAUUCAAAGCAGUUCCCUAAAAUGGUCACCUUGGAGAGCCAUGUAUUUCCCCAAAAAAAUUUCAAAAACACAAUUUUGGAGUUCAUUUAGAGGAACAUUUUAAGUGUUCUCACAAUUAUCUCAUCUUUCCAGGGAGGAAUUUUUUCUGGAAAGAAACAAGACUAUUUAAAGCAAGUGGGAUCUGAAACUAUAAAAUAAUGGCAUUAAUUUUCUUAUGAAAUUUGAACUUGGUUCUGAGAGCAAUUACAGAAGUGAGUGUGAGCUACAACAUGUUGACUAAUAGGCCCAUGGGCACAUGCCUGGGUUAGGCAGUACUUGCAAUUUCUAAUUUUCAGAUUAAAGUAACUCACAAUCAUUUCAGUGUGUGUGUGGUGGUGGUGGGGGUUAUCAUGCAUUCAGUCAAACAAUUUAAAUACAUGGGGUCCAUAUGUAAAAGACAAUGGAAAAUAAUGGCAAAUAUAAAAGUGGAUGUUACAUCUCUUUUUUUUCAGGGCAAACUAAAAAGCAACUUUAAACAUUGCAUAAAACCAAUUAGAGACAAGCUAGUUACUGCUGUAGGGAGAAGAAGGGCAACACCAUCUGUUUACAUUCUGCUUAAUCUUCUGAAUAGCUCUUUAGUUAUGUCCUCAGAACUUGGGCUUCUCAUACACAGUAAAAAUAUAAAAGAAGUUACUAGGGCUGACUUCAAGCAGACUUGUGUUUGAACUCAGAUGAACUCUAUACAUGGAAGUUACCUAAUAUGGCCAAGUCUCAUUCCUCGUCUAUAAAAUUACAGAAUGAGGAAGAGUAAACAUGGCAGUGAAAAUGCUGUACUUGUCCCAAUGCCUGGCAAUUUCCAAUAAUGACAAUCACUGCAAAACUAAAUUUUAAAGUCAUGGUUUUUAUUUUUAUGAGAACACUGCCAAAAGAAAACUUGAUCUCAAACUAUCUUUGUUUACAACUAUUAGUAUCCUUCCACCCACCUGUUAACAAGUAUUUGUUAAAUAUAUCUUGCACACAGAUCUAUGUCAGAGAUUCGAGGUAAAUCGUAUUUUCAGAGAGGUUAUACUUAACUCCAGAGGUGAAGGUUAUACUGCAUCAUAACACAAGAUAGAGCCCUAUUCAAGGAAAACAUACACCGGGUGUGUUAGCACCUUAUAGAGAAACAGGCUCAUUCUGAAAGACAGGAAAUGAUUCAUGCUUCGGGGGAUGAAAGGCAGAAUGGAAGGUUAUCUUAUGUAGAAAAGUUAAGAACAUCUUAAAGCAAAGAAGAGAGACCCAAACAUGUGGAGUAUUUCAGGGAAAUGCAGUUGUUUCAGUUGACAUAGUGUUUAAAGGAAGUCUCAAUAUGUAGACACUACAGGCACCACCCUGAGUUCUGGGAUGCUAAAUAAACAACUGAUUUUACUUAGUAGGCAGUCAUAAACCAAUGAAAAUCUUUGAAUAUAGGGGACCAUAGCGGAUGCUCAAUUUCAGGAAGUCUAAGCUGGAAGUGACCCAUACUGAACGUUGAAGAGAGAAAAGUUUAGAAGUAAAAAAGACCAGCAGCAAAGUCAGUAAAGUGAUUAGACAUGUAACUGUUUAGAUAUAUGUUGACUACAGUACAAAGGACAACAUACCACCCUCACUGUGCCAGUAAUGAUCAACAUUUUGCCUAAUGUUACUAAUUGAUUUAUUCCCUCAUGAUUUUUAUUGGAAUAUUUAAAGCAAAGGUCAUCCUGUUAUUUAAAAACAAUUAUGUGUUUAUCUCUGAUAAGGACCACUUUUGAUAAAUUAUAUACCCCUUUCUUAUACCAUAGGUCUCUAAUGUUAUCUUUUACACAUUUGUAUACAUAUUUCCCCAUUUAUAUCAAAUAUGACCCUCUAUAAUUUGUUCAAAUCUAAAUCAAACAAGAUCCACACUUUACUUUUGGCUAUCAUGUAUACAACAUGCUAUGGUAUGGUAUUUUAUUUGGUGAUUAUUAGCAUGCUUCCCUCCAUUUGUUUUUCUACAUUUAUAUGUUGGGUGAUAUUAUUUCAUGUUUUAUAACUGGACUGUUGCACUAUUUUCUAUUCCUAAGGUAAAACUGUGACUAAUCUAACCUUCAUCCAGCUGUGUCAUAAUUGCCAUGUACAGGACAUCAUACUGGAUGCUAAGUGUAAAUAAUCACAGCUAUCUGUAAAUCAGGUCCCCACCUCCAGGACUGCAGAAUCUGGAGGAAAAAUAAAGAUUAAAAUGCACAGAGAAUAAUACUGAUUUUCAUUAUUGAAAUAUUCAAAUGGCAACUGAGUUAUCCAAUUCAUCAAAGAAAUUAUAUGUUGAAUAUGACACAGAUUUAUUGAUACUGCCAGAAGUCCAGUGAGAACUGAGGAUAAAAAUCUCUUGCAGCUUGAACUACUGGAUUAGGGGAUUUCUAAAUGCAAUUUGCUAAUGAAGACAACACACUGCUGAGGAAAAAUCAUAGUGUUUGGUGGCUGAUGCAACUAACUUGAAAUAAAGCAUUUUCGGAGUACAAAAUAAUGAAAAGGUGAUUAAGCUCAAGUUUGAAAAAGACAUAAUUAAGUACAAGUUGUGUUUAGGGGCCAUGGAGCUUUCAGUGUUUGGGGUAUAAUUAAUAAAAAUGUAUAAAGGAAUAAUGGAAACUCCAGCACUAUAAAAAGCAAUCAAAUUGUUGAGAUCUUUAAAUAAAAAGGCUUUUUCAAUUUGUAGAAAUGCUAUUUGAAUAUACAAAUGAACUUAAUAAAACAUGAUUUUGGAAAUGUG